rnacentral:piRNA from 1 species
UGGUUAUCCUCUGUGAACAGGGCACCC